rnacentral:rRNA from 1 species
UACGAAGGGGGCUAGCGUUGCUCGGAAUCACUGGGCGUAAAGCGCACGUAGGCGGAUUGUUAAGUCAGGGGUGAAAUCCUGGAGCUCAACUCCAGAACUGCCUUUGAUACUGGCGAUCUUGAGUCCGGGAGAGGUGAGUGGAACUGCGAGUGUAGAGGUGAAAUUCGUAGAUAUUCGCAAGAACACCAGUGGCGAAGGCGGCUCACUGGCCCGGUACUGGACGCUGAGGUGCGAAAGCGUGGGGAG